UAGAUGGGGGGUGGUUGUGGUAGGGUCGGGAAAGCAAAUGAGACCGCUGCCACAACCGCCACUAGGGUCGCACCAAGUCACCGCGAUACACCUCUACCUCCGAGUGUGCGUAGUACGCCAACCACCUAGAGCCGACAACGCCGGUACAGCUACCGCCGCCUCCGCUCCCUGGGUGCGAACGACCACAGCACUAAGGUCACCCGGCCUCGACGACCUCCACUCCUGGCCUCCACGAGGAAAGGCGCGCAACAGAGGCAGUCGGUGGAGCUGGGGACCACCUCCCCGCCAGAGUUCAGAGUGGCUGUCAAAGAGCCACGCGCCGGGGCACAGCUGCCGCCGUCUAUCUGGCCGGCAUACGGACCAGCACGACGACAAAACCUCCCAUCCUCUAGUCCGAGCGCCCACGGGCGCGGGCUAGACUUCGGCCCUCCCUCUACGAGAACACAUCAACACACACGGGCAGCAGCGACGCCGUCGAGGCCAGCACGCGCGGCCGUUCUGGAGGUGACGGUCAAGGACAGCGAAACCCAGAAUGUAGUAGACAGCGUAGGGGUUUGUAGUAGCUGACACCGGGAUAGGCUCUUUGUUUACUCUGCUGGUACCGGGGAGAGGUUCGAGAGAGGAGGCAGGAGCAGGAGGACGAGGAGUGUGUCGUGCGCGCGUGCCGCUCCCGCUCGUGCGACCUCCUGUGCACGUCCGAGCAGCCGUGGCCGUCCCGCGUCCUGAUGCUGAAGACGCACUUCUGCGACCCCCGCCUGGGCCGCUCGCGCUGCCGGCUGCUCGAGCCGGACCAGCAGUAGCGCCACUCCUAGCGGUACCGCUGACGGUUCCGGUGGCCGCUGGCGUAGCGGGCCGACGUCCGGAGGCUCUGCAGCGGGGCCGCCGCCGACCAGGACCUGCUCACGCGGUUGCUGAUGCGGAACUGUCACGCGACCGACCCCGCGCGGAGGUACCUGAACCGGCGCCCGCCCCUACUCCUGGCCGACUGCCUCCGCCGGUGGGACGACCUCGUGCAAGCACCGUGCGGCCGCGCGACGCUAUUCCGCAAGCAGGAGACCCGGCCGCUCUCCUGCGGCGACUGGCUGCGCCUGGUGCUCGAGUUGCCCCACUGGUACUACCGCAACUUAUAGAACGCGGUAACGAAUUUACUGCCCCGUUUUACUCGUUCAUCGUGCUCCGGAAGAAGAUGGAGGCCUUCUUUUACUAGUAGAAAAGGCCGUCACUUUAUACACUACACGUUGUUAUUUUACUCAUUAUUAUUAUUGAACGUUUUAAAGGUUACCUCUAACAUCUUGCGACACCAGAAUAGUCAUAAAUAAAUAAAGUUUUUACUGCGACUUCUAAAAGAGACUAAGUGUUCUCAAGUA
rnacentral:rRNA from 1 species